GAAAUCCUACAAGAAGCAGAUGGUAUCAUCCUUUCUCGUGGAAAUUUGGGCAUAGAUCUCCCACCAGAGAAGGUGUUUCUAUUUCAAAAAGCUGCUGUUUACAAGUGCAACAUGGCAGGAAAGCCUGCUGUGGUAACUCGUGUUGUCGACAGUAUGACGGACAAUUUGAGACCUACUCGUGCUGAAGCAACUGACGUUGCCAAUGCAGUUUUGGAUGGCAGUGAUGCAAUUCUUCUAGGUGCAGAGACCCUGCGGGGAUUGUACCCUGUUGAGACCAUUUCUAUUGUUGGAAGAAUUUGUGCUGAGGCAGAGAAGGUUUUCAAUCAAGAUUUGUAUUUCAAGAAGACUGUAAAAUAUGUUGGAGAACCAAUGACUCAUUUAGAAUCUAUUGCUUCCUCAGCGGUACGUGCUGCUAUCAAGGUGAAGGCUUCCGUCAUUAUAUGCUUCACUUCAACAGGAAGAGCUGCAAGGUUGAUCUCAAAGUAUAGGCCAACAAUGCCUGUGAUAUCUGUUGUUAUCCCCAGGCUUAAGACAAAUCAACUACGUUGGAUCUUCUCUGGUGCUUUUGAGGCAAGGCAGUC
rnacentral:misc_RNA from 1 species